GGGCGAAUGGUGAAAUUGGUAGACACGCAAGCUUGAGGGGCUUGUGGCCGCAAGGCUGUGGAGGUUCAAAUCCUCUUUCGCCCA
rnacentral:tRNA from 1 species